rnacentral:rRNA from 1 species
CCCUUAGAUGUUCUGGGCUGCACGCGCGCUACACUGACGCACGCAACAGGUGCCUGCUCCGAGAGGACUGGGUAAUCAUUUGAGUGUGCGUCGUGAUGGGGAUAGAAUAUUGUAAUUAUUACUCUUCAACGAGGAAUUCCUAGUAAGCGCCAGUCAGCAGCUUGCGCUGAUUACGUCCCUGCCCUUUGUACACACCGCCCGUCGCUCCUACCGACGGGUGAUCCGGUGAAUGAUUCGGACUUCAGCGGCUCCCCUGGGGUGCGCCGGAGAAAGUUUUGUGAACCUUAUCACUUGGAGGAAGGAGAAGUCGUAACA